AUGAACGCUGGCGGCGUGCUUCACACAUGCAAGUCGAACGGUGAAGCUCCAGCUUGCUGGAGUGGAUCAGUGGCGAACGGGUGAGUAACACGUGAGCAACCUGCCCCUGACUCUGGGAUAACAGCCGGAAACGGCUGCUAAUACCGGAUAUGCACCAUGAACGCAUGUUCUGUGGUGGGAAAGAUUUUUCGGUUGGGGAUGGGCUCGCGGCCUAUCAGCUUGUUGGUGAGGUAAUGGCUCACCAAGGCGUCGACGGGUAGCCGGCCUGAGAGGGUGACCGGCCACACUGGGACUGAGACACGGCCCAGACUCCUACGGGAGGCAGCAGUGGGGAAUAUUGCACAAUGGGCGAAAGCCUGAUGCAGCAACGCCGCGUGAGGGAUGACGGCCUUCGGGUUGUAAACCUCUUUUAGCAGGGAAGAAGCGAGAGUGACGGUACCUGCAGAAAAAGCGCCGGCUAACUACGUG
rnacentral:rRNA from 1 species